rnacentral:rRNA from 1 species
AUGGAGGUGGCUUUGAAAAAUGUACUCCCCUCGAUGGCUCACCAAUGGUGCAAAUGGCAUGUGUUGAAGAAGGUGAAGGAAACUCUUGGGCCGAUGUACACGAAGCAGACAGAUUUCCGUGACGAGUUCCACAAGGUUGUUAACCACAUGCUUACAAUUGAUGAGUUUGAGCAAGCCUGGAAGAUGUUGAUAGAGAAGUACAACCUAGAAAGCCACAGCUACCUUUCUCAAGUGUAUGAGGUUAGGCACAAAUGGGCGAAGCCAUUUUUCAAGGAUGUGUUCUGUGCUAAGAUGACAAGCACGCAGCAAAGUGAGAGUGCUAACAGCAUGCUGAAGUCAUAUGUCCCCCCCCCGGUUGCCCCAUGCAUAUGUUUGUGA